AUUGAACGCUGGCGGCAGGCCUAACACAUGCAAGUCGAACGAGUGGCGGACGGGUGAGUAAUGUCUUGGAAACUGCCUGAUGGAGGGGGAUAACUACUGUAAACGGUAGCUAAUACCGCAUACCAUCAGAUGUGCUCAGAUGGGAUUAGCUUGUUGGUGGGGUAACGGCUCACCAAGGCGACGAUCCCUAGCUGGUCUGAGAGGAUGACCAGCCACACUGGAACUGAGACACGGUCCAGACUCCUACGGGAGGCAGCAGUGGGGAAUCUUGGACAAUGGGCGAAAGCCUGAUGCAGCAAUGCCGCGUGUAUGAAGAAGGCCUUCGGGUUGUAAAGUACUUUCAGCGGGGAGGCGUUACCCGAAGAAAAAGCACCGGCUAACUCCGUGCCAGCAGCCGCGGUAAUAC
rnacentral:rRNA from 1 species